UAACACAUGCAAGUCGAGCGAGGAGAUCCUUCGGGAUGAUCCUAGCGGCGGACGGGUGAGUAACACGUGGGCAACCUGCCUCAUAGAGAGGAAUAGCCUUCCGAAAGGGAGAUUAAUACCUCAUAACAUUGCAGUUUCGCAUGGAACAGCAAUUAAAGGAGUAAUCCGCUAUGAGAUGGGCCCGCGGCGCAUUAGCUAGUUGGUGAGGUAAUGGCUCACCAAGGCGACGAUGCGUAGCCGACCUGAGAGGGUGAUCGGCCACAUUGGGACUGAGACACGGCCCAGACUCCUACGGGAGGCAGCAGUGGGGAAUAUUGCACAAUGGGGGAAACCCUGAUGCAGCCAACGCCGCGUGAGUGAUGACGGCCUUCGGGUUGUAAAGCUCUGUCUUCAGGGACGAUAAUGACGGUACCUGAGGAGGAAGCCACGGCUAACUACGUGCCAGCAGCAGC
rnacentral:rRNA from 1 species